CGUGAGUAACCUGCCUCUAAGAGGGGAAGUAACAUUCUGAAAAGAAUGCUAAUACCGCAUAACAUAUAUUUAUUCGCAUGGUAGAUAUAUCAAAGAUUUAUCGCUUAGAGAUGGACUCGCGUCCGAUUAGUUAGUUGGUGAGGUAACGGCUCACCAAGACUGCGAUCGGUAGCCGGACUGAGAGGUUGAACGGCCACAUUGGGACUGAGACACGGCCCAG
rnacentral:rRNA from 1 species